AGAGAAGAAUGUUAACACAUCAUUCAGUUCUUUUUUCAGAAGAAAAAUAACUUGGACAAAAACAGAAGUAUUAUGUUGUUUGCUCCUUCCUAUCUGUUUUGUAUGUUUCUUCUGUGCAUCUCCUCCUAUAGUUUUUGUUAUCUUUAUUUCCUAUUUAAAACAAGAAUUGUCAACAAUUUUACUGUACAUAUAAAAUCUUCUUUAUUCAGUGUAUUUCAUAGCAAACAUUUUCCUAGCAGGUUACGAUGAGUCUAUUAAUGAUACAGAAAUUACAAGCAAAAAUCUAUAUUAAUCAUUUAAUCUCACAUUUUUUAGGAAAAUAUGUAUUUGUCCAAAUAUCCUAAACCAAAUGCAGAAUGAAAAUGAAGCCAAAUUUCAGUAGAUCAGUAUUUCAAAACUUAAAAUUCUUUGUCAUAUACAAUUAAAAUAUUAGUCAUCAGUGACUGAACAGAAGAAAUAAGAUCUGAAGACUUCAAGGUGAAAAACAACUUCCAUCAGGACACAACUCACUGACCUAUUCAUAGCAUGUCACCAAAAUGAUGUCAGUUGUUACUGGUUUACUUCUGCUUGAACACUAUUUGUCUGUCAAUAAGUUUUACACAAAUAUUUUCCAAAUAUAUUUCAGAGAAGACUUCUAUUUAUUUCAGAAUGUUUCAGAUUUUGCCCCAUAGUACAUAAAUUCACUCUGUCAGAUACACUGCUCAACAACAGCUUCUCAUCAUCUCUUUCAUUACAAUAGUAAGUCUCAGAGUUGGUAAUUAUAACAUCUAAUACAGCAAAACAUGUCUAAGAUCUAACAAAUGUGAUGUGGCCUUUUUCAACUUUUUUCUGUAGUAAUUUGGUAUAUCCCUUCUGUUAUUUGUUAUGACUAAUAAUGAGGGUGGUAGGGGAAAAAGGGUAAAAGUCAGAGACAUCUCACAUCCUGUGUGUGUUGAUACUGAGGAGAGCACAGCUGCUUAAAAAGUCAGUUCUUUUGACAGCUACUGGAUCAUUACUGAGCUAAUUAAUUUUGGAGAAAAAGAAGUAUGUGAAGAUAUCAGAAAGUGAAAAAGAUACUUCUCACAAUAGAUAUUUGAAGUAAACUGAUAGAUAAUUUACAAUUUGCAUAUGUCACUACUGAAACCAUAGCAGCCAUCACUUUAGCACACUUCAUCUACAGCGAAGCAUAUUUAAGACUUUCUGGAGGCAUCAGGGCAAUUCUGUCCUCUGGUAGGCCCAUACUUAAUCAUUUGCCAAUAGUUUUAACAAAAAUAAAAACAACACAAAAAAAGGAAAAGCAUCAGAACAAUGUUCCUGAUCAUAGUUUCUCCUCACAUUCACACAAGCUGCUAAAAGGAGUAGCUUUUCCUGUCUUUAAUCUUUCUGUACUGUAACAGAAACCCCUCAGGAUUACUCAAAUGAUUAAAAUGAGACAUGUUUAAACUCUGGCCAGUAAAGUUUCCAAAUAUAUGAGGUUUUUCUAUUAAAUGCUGUAGUAACCAAUUAUAGAAAUAAAGAUGUCUGCUUUCAGAGCAUAUCACCAUUACAUAUACAUCUUUAAUGAACUUUGGAAGGCCAAAAUACACUGAAUCAAAGUAUUUCGGUUUUGGCUGGGAUGGUGUUAAUAGCACACAGAUGUUUUGGCUGUUGUUAAGUGAUGGGUGCGUGCCUGGGGCUGGGCCACUUGACAGGGAAGGGCCACCACCACCAUUAUGAUACCAUGGCAAGGUGAGGGGAGGAUUGAGUCAGGACAGCUGGCCUGAAUUAGGGAAGGGGUUAUUCUGUACCAUGUGACAUCAUGUGGAAGGCUGUAAAGCGGUGGGGGAGAAGGCUUGGUGUGAGCUGUUGCUUGGGGACUGGUUAGAUUGUAGUUAGUUAAGUGUUGCGUUGGUAGCGGAACAUCAGCUGAUGUGUUGUUAGCUUAGUGUUUGGUGGUUGAUGUUCUCUUCCCCCACUCCACAUGCAAUGGAGUGAGCCAAUAGCUGUGUGGCUCUUAGCUGCCUGCCAGGUUAAUCCCCAGCAAGGAUCCACGUAGUUGUGGAGGAUUAAGGUACUUAAAAUCAGACUUCAUAAAGAUUCAACUGGACUGCAGUCUUACCAAAGUACAGCUAAUCUACCUUGCACAUUCGUGCAGUAUGGCCAUGGACCACAGUUAUACCAGUGAUGAAUUUUCUGCACAUUACUAGAGGAGAAAAACACUGUUGAUAAUACACUGGUGUUCCAGUUGUUGCUGAAGAGUGCUCUGCAGAGCCAUGGAUGUUUCACUUUUCAGUUUCUCCUACUGUCCUGCCAGCAAGUGAGCUGACCUAAACUGGCCAAGGGCCAUUCCAUAGCGUAUGACAUCAUGUGAAAAAAACUAUAAAACUGAGGGGAGUUGAUCAAGGGGUCUGCCACAGCUCAGGGAUGGGUUGGGCAUCAGUCAGAGGAUGCUGAAAUGAAUUAGUGAGAGGCUGUGAUGGUGUUGUCUGGGAUUAAGCCACCACAGGCAUGAAUGCUAACAAUUGAGGAAGAAAUUAAGAGCACAAAAGCAGGCAUUGUUGUGUAUUACAUGACCUGUUCAUGAUAUGUUUCUUUGUUUAUUAAAAAAAAAUGUAGUUGUUGGAUACAUUUAGAAUACUUAGUGUUAAUUUAUCAAUAAAACAGGAAAUACUGGUUUUCUUUUGAAGUCUGCGUCUUUUGAAAUCUGCGACAUUUCUAUGAACAUCUGCAAAGAUUAGGAUAUUGCAGCUGUUCACUUUCUAGUCAUAUUCAGAUAGUAAGAUCAUAUUAAUUUCACAAAGAAGGCAUGUGAAGAGUGUUUUUUUUCUCUUAAAAAAAAAAAAACACUAUGAUCCGGUCUUACUUGAGUUGUUGGUUUAACUUUGUACAUCAUAGUUCCUUUGAAGUGAGCAUUUGCUGGAUCUGAGUUUAUAUCUGUUAUUCAUGAUAGGCAUAACUCUUGACCUCGCUUGCUACUCACUCCAUUACUACUACUUUUCCUAAAAGAUCACAAAUGCUCUCUUAAUAACAUGACUGUUUCUGAAAGCAUACAGCAUUUGACAGGGCAGGAUUGAGAUAAUGGGGAGCAAAAUCAGUAAAUGAAAUUGCAUCUUACUUAAUUGAGUUACAUCCCCGGGAAUAAAAUUUAACUUACCAAGCUUAUUUUUUUUCAUUCUGGACAAAAAUAAAUAAAGGAAAAAAGAAUGAAAUCAAAUGAACAUGUAAAAUACAGUGACAUUUCAGGGACUCUCAGGAACAUUACAGAGUUAAUGUUUUAUUUGGCUGUAAAAAUGCCUUCCAAGCAUACUUUGUACUAUAGACAGAAUAUAUCUGCUUAAAAGGAAUAAUACAUGCCCUCAUGUUAGGGUCACGUACUAUUGCAAGCUGAAAGUUUUACCAGUGCAUGAGUCAAUAACCUGUUACUGAAACAUACAGCUUUUCUAAAAUCAAUUUCAGGUUGCAUCUUAGAGCAUUUUCUCAAAAACUUUCUUGAUACUGUCACAUUAAUUGCAACUAUUUUUUAAAAUAUCAAAUGACAUUUUCAAGCUCAUAUACAAUAUAGACCCUUUGCCAUUUAUUAUUUGAUACUAAAAUCAAUUUCUCAUAUUGCUUAUUAAACAAGUUUCAUAGGUUGGUAUAUCUGUAUCUUGGAUGCUGUAAGGAACUGUGAAAUUCUGGAUGGAUGGAUUAGAUAUAAAUGGUGACCCAAGAGGUGCUAAUAUGGAUUGAAAUACUUGGUUUUGGUUCUAUCAGUGCUCAUAAAAAGAAUCUUUCAGAAAAGCAGUCAAACAUGACGUUACUUAUUUCAGAACUAUGCUGUGAAUUUACUGGGAUAGAAUUGUUCAAAAGGAUUCAACAGAAAAAUAUUCUCCUCUAUGUUUCAUGGUUGCUUUUUAACAUGAAGUAUGUAUAAUGAGAUGAUACCC